UGGGGAAUCUUGCACAAUGGGGGAAACCCUGAUGCAGCGACGCCGCGUGAGCGAUGAAGCCCUUCGGGGUGUAAAGCUCUUUCGGCAGGGAAGAUGAUGACGGUACCUGCAGAAGCAGCUGCGGCUAACUACGUGCCAGCAGCCGCGGUAAUACGUAGGCAGCAAGCGUUGUUCGGAGUUACUGGGCGUAAAGGGUGUGUAGGCGGUUCUUUAAGUUUGGUGUGAAAUCUCCCGGCUCAACCGGGAGGGUGCGCCGAAAACUGAAGGGCUAGAGUGCGGGAGAGGAGAGUGGAAUUCCUGGUGUAGCGGUGAAAUGCGUAGAUAUCAGGAGGAACACCGGUGGUGUAAACGGCUCUCUGGACCGUAACUGACGCUGAGACACGAAAGCGUGGGUAGCAAACA
rnacentral:rRNA from 1 species